rnacentral:lncRNA from 12 species
GCCACCUUUUUCUGUUCUUCCUUAGCAAUGAAGCCAGAGACUAGAGACCACUAAUUUUACAGGCCGUAGAAAACUGGAUGUAUUUGUGAAGGAAGCUUAAAUAUUUAGGUUUUCUUAUGUUGUUGUUAUUGUUGUUCGGGAAGAAUUUUUUGGAAAGGGCCAGGUUUAAUUUAAACAUAUAGGAAAAGAGUUGGUAUUAGGGAACUAGUUUUAACAGAGAGCUGCAAGAGUUGUCUAUAACUCAGGGUAUUUAAUUUGUUUGUAUUUUACAUAUUCCCUUUGUAUUAAUAGUGCUUCUACUGUUAUUUUUAGAUAAUUAUAUAUGUAACCAAUGGUACUAUCUGAUGCAGAUAAUGCAUGUUUAUGUGUGCAUCUACGUGUGUGCGCGCAUAAGCAUAUGCACACGUAUAUAUGUACAUAUAUACACAUUUAUAGUAUUGCUAUUUGAGUUUCUAUCAGCUACUUGCCUAUCAAAUAGCUUUCUCAGUGGUUGCAAAAUUCGCCAGUCCUGCACACUCUCCUCUUGAGGCCUGUGGAUUAACUAGGAAUCCAGGUGCUUUUUGCCCUGAUCCACCUCGGACUCCCUCUCCCGCUAUUGCUGGAGAGGCUGCCUUCAGAAGGAGCUACGUCUGAAAGUGACCUUGCUCAGCAAAUGCCGAUUGGCUUAUGCAGAAAUCCUUUCCCAGAAGAGAUGGAAAUGGAAAAAACAAAAAGGAAAAAAAAACAAAAACCCAGAAACUUAAAGAACAGCGCUCUGCAAAUGACCUCACAUGAGGGUAAGAAGAAAGCAAGGGAGGUCAAUUUUGGCAAACAGAGAAUUGAAUUUGAUGCUUUUUCUUUUUAUAGGACAAAGUAGUUUCAGGGAAGCUUUCACAAUUAUUUUUAUUAAAGCAAAUCUGGCUGAAGACAUUUUUAAAACUCUAUGGGAAACAGCAGACUGACAUUGAGGAAGCUGGAAGAUGAGAGUGAGAAACUUGGUUCUCCUUUUCUAAGUUUUUGAAGAAACCUGGAAGAGGAGACUUGCUGAGCUCCAGCAUUUUGUGAAAUAAGCUUGGGGCUGCUACCACCUGGGUUAUUUAUCUGUUAUUAGGAGAAUUGAAUGAAACAGGAUAUAGUAAAGGACUUUGUAAACCCUAAAUAAAUGCACAGGUGUAAAUGUGGCA